rnacentral:rRNA from 1 species
GAUGAACGCUGGCGGCGUGCCUAAUACAUGCAAGUCGAGCGAACAGACGAGGAGCUUGCUCCUCUGACGUUAGCGGCGGACGGGUGAGUAACACGUGGAUAACCUACCUAUAAGACUGGGAUAACUUCGGGAAACCGGAGCUAAUACCGGAUAAUAUAUUGAACCGCAUGGUUCAAUAGUGAAAGACGGUUUUGCUGUCACUUAUAGAUGGAUCCGCGCCGCAUUAGCUAGUUGGUAAGGUAACGGCUUACCAAGGCAACGAUGCGUAGCCGACCUGAGAGGGUGAUCGGCCACACGGGAAGUGAGACACGGUCGAGACUCCUACGGGAGGCAGCAGUAGGGAAUCUUCCGCAAUGGGCGAAAGCCUGACGGAGCAACGCCGCGUGAGUGAUGAAGGUCUUCGGAUCGUAAAACUCUGUUAUUAGGGAAGAACAAAUGUGUAAGUAACUAUGCACGUCUUGACGGUACCUAAUCAGAAAGCCACGGCUAACUACGUG